UACAGAGGUGGCAAGCGUUGUUCGGAAUUACUGGGCGUAAAGGGCGCGUAGGCGGUUCGUUAAGUCCUGUGUGAAAUCCCCCGGCUCAACUGGGGAACUGCACAGGAAACUAGCGGGCUUGAGUUCGGGAGAGGGAAGCGGAAUUCCGGGUGUAGCGGUGAAAUGCGUAGAUAUCCGGAGGAACACCGGUGGCGAAGGCGGCAUUCUGGACCGACAUUGACGCUGAGGAGCGAAAGCCAGGGGAGCAAACGGG
rnacentral:rRNA from 1 species